AGUGAACGCUGGCGGUAGGCCUAACACAUGCAAGUCGAACGGCAGCACAGUAAGAGCUUGCUCUUACGGGUGGCGAGUGGCGGACGGGUGAGGAAUACAUCGGAAUCUACUUUUUCGUGGGGGAUAACGUAGGGAAACUUACGCUAAUACCGCAUACGACCUACGGGUGAAAGCAGGGGAUCUUCGGACCUUGCGCGAUUGAAUAAGCCGAUGUCGGAUUAGCUAGUUGGCGGGGUAAAGGCCCACCAAGGCGACGAUCCGUAGCUGGUCUGAGAGGAUGAUCAGCCACACUGGAACUGAGACACGGUCCAGACUCCUACGGGAGGCAGCAGUGGGGAAUAUUGGACAAUGGGCGCAAGCCUGAUCCAGCCAUACCGCGUGGGUGAAGAAGGCCUUCGGGUUGUAAAGCCCUUUUGUUGGGAAAGAAAAGCAGCAGGUUAAGACCCCGCUGUUCUGACGGUACCCAAAGAAUAAGCACCGGCUAACUUCGU
rnacentral:rRNA from 1 species